rnacentral:rRNA from 1 species
CCUACGGGUGGCAGCAGUGAGGAAUAUUGGUCAAUGGGCGCGCGCCUGAACCAGCCAAGUCGCGUGAGGGAAGACGGUCCUAUGGAUUGUAAACCUCUUUUGUCGGGGAGCAAAAGACGCCACGCGUGGCGUUCCGAGAGUACCCGAAUAAAAAGCAUCGGCUAACUCCGUGCCAGCAGCCGCGGUAAUACGGAGGAUGCGAGCGUUAUUCGGAUUUAUUGGGUUUACAGGGGGCGCAGGCGGAAGAUCAAGUCAGCGGUAAAAUUGAGCGGCUCAACCUCUUCGAGCCGUUGAACCUGGUUUUCUGGAGUGAAGGAGAGGUAUGCGGAAUGCGUGGUGUAGCGGUGAAAUGCUUAGAUAUCACGCAGAAAUCCGAUUGCGAAGGCAGCAUACCGGCGCUCAACUGACGCUCAUGCACGAAAGUGUGGGUAUCGAACAGGAUUAGAUACCCGUGUAGUC